ensembl:snRNA U6 U6 spliceosomal RNA
GUGCUCACUUUGGCAGCACAUAUACUAUAAUUGGAACGAUACCAAGCAGAUUAGCACGGCCCCUGCACAAGGAUGACCCUCAAAUUCGUGAAGCAUUCCAUAUUUCU